AUGCUGGACGGGAUUCUCCUUUGUUACUGCAUUAUUGUGACAGCCCUGUUUUUCAAUAUCAAGUAUUUUCCUAAACAAAUGGAUCUUCAAAGCGAAGGGGGCAAUGUGGGUCAGCCUGUCAUUGAAUUACAAGAAAUGAAACAAUCUCGUAAGAAAAAGAAGCGCCAAGUUGAUGGGGUAAGCAACAAUUCUCAUGUUCCAAGUCUCCCCUUGAAGACACCUGAAGGGUAUGUGGUGUACAGAGGAAGUAAAAUGUUUAGACAAGCAACAACUUGGGUUUGUGGCAAUACCCCAUUUUUGAUUAUUCAAUCACUUCAGUAGGCUCACACCAGUACAAUAUAUGGUAUAUAUAAUAGGUAAUAUAUAUAUACAAGGUUGGUCAAUUUCUUGGUAAAAAGGUGUUCCGACAUAUUUUUUUUAUGAUUCCUCAACAUGGGUAUUUCUCUCCCCAGUCAAAUCGCAUCAGCACUAUGGACGCCUAUGAGUCGCUGCCUUCCAGUAGCGCCGCGGCCGCCCCUCAGUUGCAUCAUCGCUGACGUCUGCAGUUACGCUUGGUUUUAGUUGGACAUGCAUUUCCAAUUGAUUUCCCUUUUAAUUUAAAUGUUCUGUAAAGCUAUCCUCUUGAAUCUUCUUUCGGCCGUUCCCAUGUAAGCCUAUACAUACAAUACUCCUGCAUAAGAA
rnacentral:lncRNA from 1 species